UACGUAGGCGGAAAUUAAGUCAGUAGUGAAAUCCUGCAGCUUAACUGUAGAACUGUUAUUGAUACUGGUUUCUUGAAUAUAGUUGAGGUAGGCGGAAUAUGUAAUGUAGCGGUGAAAUGCUUAGAUAUUACAUAGAACACCGAUUGCGAAGGCAGCUUACUAAGCUAUGAUUGACGCUGAGGUACGAAAGCGUGGGGAGCGAACA
rnacentral:rRNA from 1 species